rnacentral:rRNA from 1 species
UGCAGUCGCACGGCCAGGUUUCGGCCUGGCAGUGGCGGACGGGUGAGUAUCGCGUAGGGAUCUGUCCUGGGGUGGGGGAUAACCGAGGGAAACUUCGGCUAAUACCGCAUGAGGCCUGCGGGCCAAAGGCGCCGGUGACACGGUGGUCGCCUUGGGAGGAGCCUGCGUCCGAUUAGCUUGUUGGUGGGGUAAAGGCCUACCAAGGCUAUGAUCGGUAGCUGGUCUGAGAGGAUGAUCAGCCACACUGGGACUGAGACACGGCCCAGACUCCUACGGGAGGCAGCAGUGGGGAAUAUUGGACAAUGGGGGCAACCCUGAUCCAGCAAUGCCGCGUGGGUGAAGAAGGUCUUCGGAUUGUAAAGCCCUUUCGGCGGGGACGAUGAUGACGGUACCCGCAGAAGAAGCCCCGGCUAACUUCGUGCCAGCAGC